GAUCAUGGCUCAGGAUGAACGCUAGCUACAGGCUUAACACAUGCAAGUCGAGGGGAAACGACAUCGAAAGCUUGCUUUUGAUGGGCGUCGACCGGCGCACGGGUGAGUAACGCGUAUCCAACCUGCCCACCACUUGGGGAUAACCUUGCGAAAGUAAGACUAAUACCCAAUGACGUCUCUAGAAGACAUCUGAAAGGGAUUAAAGAUUUAUCGGUGAUGGAUGGGGAUGCGUCUGAUUAGCUUGUUGGCGGGGUAACGGCCCACCAAGGCAACGAUCAGUAGGGGUUCUGAGAGGAAGGUCCCCCACAUUGGAACUGAGACACGGUCCAAACUCCUACGGGAGGCAGCAGUGAGGAAUAUUGGUCAAUGGGCGAGAGCCUGAACCAGCCAAGUAGCGUGCAGGAUGACGGCCCUAUGGGUUGUAAACUGCUUUUAUAAGGGAAUAAAGUGAGCCUCGUGAGGCUUUUUGCAUGUACCUUAUGAAUAAGGACCGGCUAAUUCCGUG
rnacentral:rRNA from 1 species